CUGCUGCUGCUUCGGGAAAACACCAAAUGGUGGAUGACGCUGGAGCAGCCAGAGGACCUGGGGCCCAGGAUUAGGAAGCCGCAGCGGCUUCCAUCAGGGGAUUCAACAGCGGUCUUAGGGGCCACAGAGGUUGAGACCACGGGGCUCUUGGAGGUAAAGCUGAAGACAAGAACUGGAUCCCUGUCACCAAGUCUGGUUAAGGACAUGAAGAUCAAGUCCUUGGAGGAGAGCUACCUGUUCACCCUGCCCGUUAAGGAUCAUUGGCUUUUUCCUGGGUGCGUCCCUAAAGGAUGAGGUUCUGAAAACCAUGCCAGUGCAGAAGCAGACGCGGGCUGGCCAGCAGACCAGGUUCAAGGCAUUCGUAGCCAUUGGGGACUACAGUGGUCACGUUGGUCUUGGCGUUAAGUGCUCCAAGGAGGUUGCCACUGCCAUCCGAGGGCCCCUGAUCUUGGCCAAGCUUUCUAUCAUCCCUGUGCAGAGAGGCUACUGGGGGAACAAGAUUGGCAAGCCCCACACUGUUCCAUGCAAGGUGACAGGCCGCUGUGGCUCUGUGCUGGUGCGUCUCAUCCCUGCUCCCAGAGGCACUGGCAUUGUCUCUGCUCCUGUGCCCAAGAAGCUACUGAUGAUGGCCGGGAUAGAUGACUGCUAUACUUCAGCCAGAGACUGCACUGCCAUCCUGGGCAAUACUGCCAAGGCCACCUUUGACCCCACCCCCAAGACCUUCAGCUACCUAAUCCCAACCUCUGGAAAGAGACUGUGUUCACAAGUCUCCUUAUCAGGAAUUCACUGAUCAUCUUGUGAAAACCCACACCAGAGUCUCUGUCAGAGGACCCAGGCUCCAGCUGUGGCAACCACAUAAAGUUUUU